rnacentral:lncRNA from 10 species
UGGCACCAUUCAAGCAAUGACAUUUUGAGAAUUAAAACAUAGCCAAGUCUGAAAGCAGGACACACCAUCACUAACUCAGGAGAACCUUGACAUGAAACAAUGCCCCCCUGCCUUUCCUCUUGCUUCUCUUUGCCUGUUUGUUUAAUCAAAUUACGCUACAGCCAUCCUACAACUGCACAGUGAUUUCUGAAAGGACUCCACUGGAGUUCAUUCCAUUUGCAUCAGUCAAAGAAGCUGUCUUUCCCUUCAAAUUGCCUUCCCUAUAGCCUUCAAAAUUGGAACAAGGGAUGGCUUUUGUCUUCCAGCCUUACCAGGAAGAUGAAAGUGAAACAGUUCCCUUCUCUCUGCAGCCGGUCUGCACACGAUGAUCUGCCCAGGAAACUGAAGAGGAGAUUAGAACACAGACAUGACCAUGUAAGGACACAGGGAGAAGGCGGCCGUCUGUAAGCCAAGGAGGGAGGCUCAGAAGGAACGAACCCUGCUCACACCUGGAUCCCAGACUUCUAGCUUCCAGGACGGAGAAAAUAAAUGUUGUUGAAGCCGCCUACCCUAUGGUACUUUAUUAUGGAAGCCCUAGCACACUAAUACAUUAAGUCUGUUUCUGGAUGCUGGCAGUCAUUCAGAAACAUUUGCUGAGCACCUCGUACCUGCUGAAUGAACCCACGUGAAGGGGAGCCAGGAGUGCGGAUCAUUAAAAAGCCUGUACUUUCUCAGUCCCCAUUUGACACCACAGAGAGAAAAUGCAUGCUCCUGAUUUGGGUAGAUCUAGAAUGUUCUUAUGAAUAUGUCUUUGCCCGGCACAGUGACUCACUGGCGUCCCUUUCAGGACUUUCUCCCGCCUGAUAACAUCUAAAUGACUCAUGCCUACACCACCUGGAGAGCUCAGGGAAGGCACGGUUUGUUCAGGCCACCCUCACUCCAAGGGCCAGCCCUUUUUUGGAAUAGAAACUAAAAGUUGGUAGCUUCCAUUUGUAGUUCCAUCUAACAGAAGAGCCGACCCACUCACAUUAGCUGGCUCACGACUAAGGCAACCAAUGCCUCCCAGAACAUAGACUCAACUGGCAACCCCGGCACUGAAGGUCAAGGUGAGUCAAAGACACUCAUGCAGAAGGGUGGAUGCUCUUCCAAGUGUGACUGGCUGGCCUGCACGGCUCACUGCCUCCCCUCCUCCCGUCAAGAUGCAGCUUCAGUUUAAACCACCUUCGUUCCAUUCAUCAAAGAGGAAUAUUUACUGUUAUUGUAAUGACUCUUCUCACAGUACACAAGGCUACACCUGAAACACACAGGCCUUUCAGAAAGCACAAAGGAGCAUUGUGCAAGCCCCUGCCCAGUGAGAUGGAUGGGGGCGUAGACACGCCAGUUAACAGCCGGGCUUUGCAGGCCAGCAAGACUUAUCUGUGGCCGCACCAUGGCCACUGAGCUUGUACCUUUCUUCUUUUAAAAAUUGCUCCUUCAUUAUAAGCAGAGUUAAAUACCUGCACAUGUGAUUUGUGUUGAAAUAAUAAAGCAACAAACACACAUCAAGCUGAGGAGAGAAUCUUGGCUAAGGUAGGAAGUCGUGGGUCUGGUCUCAGUCUGUGCUGCUGACCAACUGUAAGAACUCAGAACUCACUGUCCACUCAGGACCACAGUGUCUCAUCUGAAAGGACGAGGAGACUGGAACACACCAGAGCCAUGGUUCUCAAUGUGUGGUCCAGAGGCCCUCGGGGGUCCCUGAGCCUCUUUCUGGGGAUCUGUGAGGUCAAAACUACUUUCACAAGUAUGGUUUGCCUUUUUCACUCUCACUCUCUCAUGCUUGAACAAUGGAAUCUUCUAAAGGCUUCCUGACACGUGAUGCUACAAUGGAUGGAAUCCAGAGGUGGAUAGGAGAAGCCAGCUGCCUUCUAUUAAACCAGAAAUGAAGAACAUUUGCAGAAAUGUACAACAAUGCCAUGCUUCCCAUUAAUUAUUUUGUUCUUGCUUUAGAAUAUGUCACUUUUCAUUGAAAAAUGUUACUCAUGAUUUUAUGUAAAAGGUUUAUUGUUGUUACUUUUAAAUACAUAUUUUAAGUGUUUUUUAGUUUUGAUUUCUAAUAUGGCAAAAAUUGGUAAAAUCACAUACACAAGGGCUUUUGGGGAUCCUCAAAACUUUUUAAGAGUGUAAAGGGAUCCAGAGACCAAAAGUUUGAUAACCACUAACCAAAAACUUUGACAACCAUCAUCUUGAAGGGUCCUUGGACUUUCUGGAAUUUGGAUCUCCCUUGCCUUGUUCAGUUUUCUCUCUUUUUAGCCAUCUCGUACUUACUGCCAUUUCAGUUCCUAUGUACCUGACUUAUUAAUUAUGCUUAUUGUUUACCAUGUGUGUUCCCCUCCCAUAUAAACUCCAUGAGGACUGAGAUAUUUGUCCAUGAUGUUCAUCAGUGCAUCCCAGGCUGCCUAGAACUGGGCCUGGCCCUUAGCAGGCACUUGUUUUUGGAUGGGAGGGAGGAGAAGGGAGGGGAGAGGGCAAGUUCUUUCAGUGUCUGUAUAAUGGACAGAGCAAGGUGUACCACCUCGGUGUGAUAGAAGAGAUGGAGACAGGAGAAAGGAAGCUCUGCACAGGAUCACGUGGUAGGUGGCAAAGUCAGGGCUCCAUCACAGCUUCUGUUGUCACAUGACUCUGUUAUCUGACCCUUUAAGGCAGCCCCUUCUGCUCCAACAGAGCUUCAGGGUAACUGAGUGCCCCGCAAUUGGUGUUAGC